GAUGAACGCUGGCGGCGUGCCUAAUACAUGCAAGUCGAGCGAAUGGAUUGAGAGCUUGCUCUUAUGAAGUUAGCGGCGGACGGGUGAGUAACACGUGGGUAACCUGCCCAUAAGACUGGGAUAACUCCGGGAAACCGGGGCUAAUACCGGAUAACACUUUGAACCGCAUGGUUCGAAAUUGAAAGGCGGCUUCGGCUGUCACUUAUGGAUGGACCCGCGUCGCAUUAGCUAGUUGGUGAGGUAACGGCUCACCAAGGCAACGAUGCGUAGCCGACCUGAGAGGGGGAUCGGCCACACUGGGACUGAGACACGGCCCAGACUCCUACGGGAGGCAGCAGUAGGGAAUCUUCCGCAAUGGACGAAAGUCUGACGGAGCAACGCCGCGUGAGUGAGGAAGGCUUUCGGGUCGUAAAACUCUGUUGUUAGGGAAGAACAAGUGCUAGUUGAAUAAGCUGGCACCUUGACGGUACCUAACCAGAAAGCCACGGCUAACUACGUGCCAGCAGCCGCCGUAA
rnacentral:rRNA from 1 species